rnacentral:rRNA from 1 species
UGAGGAAUAUUGGUCAAUGGGCGGAAGCCUGAACCAGCCAAGUCGNGUCCGAGGGACGACGGUCCUAUGGAUUGUAAACCUCUUUUGCCGGGGAGCAAAGCCGACCUUGCGAGGUUGGAAGGAGAGUACCCGGAGAAAAAGCAUCGGCUAACUCCGUGCC